CCUACGGGAGGCAGCAGUAAGGAAUAUUGGUCAAUGGACGAAAGUCUGAACCAGCCAUGCCGCGUGAAGGAUUAAGGCCCUCUGGGUUGUAAACUUCUUUUAUCUGGGACGAAAAAAGGGUAUUCUUACUCACUUGACGGUACCAGAGGAAUAAGCACCGGCUAACUCCGUGCCAGCAGCCGCGGUAAUACGGAGGGUGCAAGCGUUAUCCGGAUUUACUGGGUUUAAAGGGUGCGUAGGUGGGCUUGUAAGUCAGUGGUGAAAUCUCCGGGCUUAACCCGGAAACUGCCAUUGAUACUAUAGGUCUUGAAUUAUCUGGAGGUAAGCGGAAUAUGUCAUGUAGCGGUGAAAUGCUUAGAUAUGACAUAGAACACCAAUUGCGAAGGCAGCUUACUACGGAUAUAUUGACACUGAGGCACGAAAGCGUGGGGAUCAAACAGGAUUAGAUACCCUGGUAGUCCACGCCCUAAACGAUGGAUACUCGACAUCAGCGAUACACUGUUGGUGUCUGAGCGAAAGCAUUAAGUAUCCACCUGGGAAGUACGAUCGCAAGAUUGAAACUCAAAUGAAAUUGAGG
rnacentral:rRNA from 1 species